rnacentral:tRNA from 1 species
UAGCCUAGUGGUUAAGGCUAUGGAUUGCCAAUCCGGAGACGGUGGAUUCGAUUCCCGU